UAUAGCAAUUGCGCAUAGAAAUCACUUGUUAGCCUCACCAAAUGGCAGCCUUCAAGAAUAUUUUUGGUCCCUUGUUUUUGGUGGCUCUCAUCGUUGUUGUUGUCUCCCAUGCCAUGCGAACAAUGAGAUACAUGAAGAUGCACUACCACUACCUGCAAGUUGUUAUAAUAUGAAGCUUCCUAAAUGCACUAAGGAGACAUGCUACAAGUUUUGCUUACUCCCUGGAGGCUACUGCGCUGGUGUUGAUGAGUGUUGCUGCCCUAUCAGCUAAACAUCAGUCAACCAUUGAGAUGAAAGUUUUGGGUUGUCAUCUUUAACCUAUGAAUAAAAUAGCUUGCCAUUUUCUCUUCA